rnacentral:tRNA from 6 species
AGCAAAGUAAGCUAAUAGAAGCUAUUGGGCCCAUACCCCAAAAAUGUUGACUAAUACUCAGCCUUUGUUA